CAAGAAACGAAGCCGCGUGCGCUCGCCCGCCCGGCCCCGCUCCUUACCUUGCCUACUGCGCCGUUUGUUGCUUCCUGGCGGCGGACUGCCCGCCGCCAGGGACGUUGAUACAACCCUGUAUAGAAGCAUUGAAGCUCUGAGAAAACGCGAAAUCGUA
rnacentral:misc_RNA from 1 species